GAUGAACGCUGGCGGCGUGCUUAACACAUGCAAGUCGAGCGAUGAAGUUUCCUUCGGGAAACGGAUUAGCGGCGGACGGGUGAGUAACACGUGGGUAACCUGCCUCAUAGAGUGGAAUAGCCUUCCGAAAGGAAGAUUAAUACCGCAUAACGUUGAAAGAUGGCAUCAUCAUUUAACCAAAGGAGCAAUACGCUAUGAGAUGGAACCGCGGCGCAUUAGCUAGUUGGGGGGGUAACGGCCUACCAAGGCGACGAUGCGUAGCCGACCUGAGAGGGUGAUCGGCCACAUUGGGACUGAGACACGGCCCAGACUCCUACGAGAGGCAGCAGUGGGGAAUAUUGCACAAUGGGGGAAACCCUGAUGCAGCAACGCCGCGUGAGUGAUGAAGGUUUUCGGAUCGUAAAGCUCUGUCUUUGGGGAAGAUAAUGACGGUACCCAAGGAGGAAGCCACGGCUAACUACGUGCCAGCCGCCGCGGUAAUAC
rnacentral:rRNA from 1 species